CAAAAGAUGUCAUUUUUUGAGAAUAUUUUUGUUUACAAUUCAUUUUUAUUGGAAUCAUACAGAGUUAGUUGACCUUUUAGGUCAAAGUGAAGAUUAUAAUUUGUUGAUUAAGCUGGAAGAGGAGGUCAUACUCUCAACGGAAGAUCGAAACACACAUGCCUUAUAGUUUUAGACACUUUUGAGACAAUUAUCAAAAUUCUACAACCACCAGAUCACUAGAAUGUCAUCUACCGAAGUUGCCUCCGCUUAUUUACACGGAAUACACAUAGACAUUCCAAACGAUCCACCACCCUAUAAUGAAGUCAUGAAAAUGAGUCACCCGCCCACCGCACCUCCAUUGGAAGCGAGGAUGCAAGAAAUACCGUUUUCAAGUAUAUUCGGUGUGGCGACGCACGUUCAAUUUGAACAUAAUGCUUCAUCCGUCGGUUCAUUUUUGAUCCGUGAUUUGGACGGAUCACUGCAAGCAAAAGGAGACACAACCAGUCAUCAUAUCGUUGUACAAAAUGUAAAUGGAACGGAGAUGUUAAAGAUCAUCGAGCGAUCGAUAGAUCAAGUAAAUAGAGCUCACGUUCAUACAUAUGCUGUGGUCCAUAAUCAUACCGGCAUCGGUACGAUAAAAGUGACCUAGAGUAGUUCAUCUGCACGCACAUCACUGCAAAUUCUUCGCGGAAACGGUAUACCAAUUACUGUGAACUCGUUGAGAGUCGGUGACUAUGCAGUAAGUUGUGACUAGACUAACGUUGAUGUCGUAAACGCAUGCUGAGUGAACGUUGCCUCUAAAACCGAUUCAAGACAAAAAUCGUAGAGGUAGCACUCGUCCUUCCUCAAAAUGUUGAAUCAAUUGACAUGAGGUGUCCUCAUUGAGGACACAUUAUUGUGCGGUCCAUGAAGCUGAACUGAAAAUUGAUUUUUUGUUGCUGAGAAUCAAAUUUUGAUAUUUCGCAAUAAAUCGUCGCCCACCCCAAUGUGUAACAUUCAAAUGCCCAAUGUCGAAGCCACCACUGAUGAUAUGACCGAAUUCAAUGUAAAAAUAAUAUUUCAUCCACACACUGGGAUCACUGAGGAGGAACAACUGCUAUGCACAGCAGCUGCCAUUGCAUUUAAAACUACAAUGAAGCAAAAAGUGGCUGAUGACGACAGAUACGUCGGGACCGUAUUUUGUAUUCUCACUUUUCUUGGGAUAGUGGCGCUGCUUAUCAUAGUUAUGCGUUAACGAAGCGCCCGUGACGCAAGUCCCAUUGCAAGUAAAAAAUUCACAGUCAUGUCGUACACUACUUGCGUGUACUAUUUACAGCAAGUUUUUAAAUUCUCCCCUUUUGUUCAAAACAAUUUUUAAAUGGAUUGGGUGACAAGGUAUUGAGGCAUAACCUUUCGUUACUUUGUAGCCUUGUUCCAUAAUUAAAAAGAAAGUUUGUGGCUUCUACCUUCCUGUAGACAUUUAUGACAGAAUAUGACCAAUGCUCUUGACGUCCCCGUAGAUUACCAUUCAAGAACGGACCUUUCUUUACACUUUUUCCCUACGGCGUGCGUACAUUGACGUACGUGGACCAAUCUUGACAUUAGCGUAAUGCGCGUUUUUUCCAACGAUGUAUCAGGAUUCCUGAUUCAGGAAGUAUGUAACGUACAGGGACUUGCGUCACAUUUUACACUCUUUAAAUUCCUGGUAAAUCAUGGCUGUGAGCAUUGUAAAGGUCAACGGCAAUGCAAGUUACCAAAAUGGAGACGAUUAAGUGACCUACCGAGAUUACCGAGAUUUGUUACAAAAUAAAAUGCAUUUAUUGACACACACA